CCCGCCCGUUCGUUCCUUAACGGUGGUGAUCCGAUGGAACCGCGGGCAGGAACGCCGAGCCGCUCCAUCCCCGCGCAGCCCGGUGACUGUACCGAUAGCAUCUGUGGGCGGGGAAAGCGAGAAAGAAAAAGGUCCGGCGUGGUUGCUGCUUUGGCCGGCGGCAUGGGUGUGAUCGAUGGUCGUACGCGCGCGUUGCUGGAAAAAGAGCACGACACGUCAAGAUGCAUCCCCUUUUCGGGGAGGAUGGAAGGCUUAUGGAACAUGAUAUACCGCCAACCACCGACCGAUCACAAAGUGCUGUCGCCUCUCUCGCCCACCUGCGGAUCCGGGGCGGCAUUUCGCCCAAUGGUGGGCCAGGUGGGCGUCCGUAACAGUUGCCAAACGAAGUGCAAGUCUCGCUCACGAUCGACGUUAACGUCUCUAUUUCGCAGCGUCGUCGAUUUAAUUUGUUUUAUUUCUUGCCUUUUCGGUGUGUUAAUUCUGCUGGAAGGUGGUUCGGGCAUAAGGUGGUUUUGUUUUUCAAACCAUCAGGUGGGACAAUGCUUCAGGUGGAUGUGGUUAUGUUUUUUUUUAUUACAAAAAAAAGCUAUAUUAUGUGAAAGGCAAUAUUAAAAUACAGCAUAGCGUUUAACCAAACCAUUACAUAAUUUUUUAAAAGUAUUGAUUCGUAAAAGCUGUUGUUAGAAAAAAGGAAUAUUCAACUUCAUCCAAUACUAUGACAAUUCAAAAUAAUUAAAAACAUACAAAUACGUUUGCAGUAACGUUUAUUAUCAAAAUGCGAUUAAAAGAAUGUAAAUUAAAAAAAAAAGCUAGUAGCAAAUACAACACUUGCUUUAAGCGUGCGAUUUCAGAGGAAAAAGUCUCAGAACAGUAAAGCAAACAACCCAUGAACAACUGUCCGAUGAGCAAACAUUUGUAAUUGUUUAUUAAUUUCCCAAUAAACACAUAGAAUUGCAAUAAAUCAA